ensembl:lncRNA novel transcript, antisence to IKZF4
GCGUCUUGCUGACCUAAAUCCUUGAACUGGAAACACAGGCUUAUGGAUGGGAGGAUAAAUAAUCCUCUUCCUCCUAUGUCUCUUUUCAGAGAUAAUGGACCUGAGGAAAACACCAAACUAGAUGGUCAUUAAGUCUCUAAAGUAGAAACGGCCUCUUAGCUUGAGGACUACCCCAGCAUAGGUAUUGCAUCAGAGCCUACAAUGUGGAUCCUCCCCGCAGCUGGACCAGGUCAUUCAUAUCAGCACUACCCUUUCUUAGAUGCCUUUGUCUGAUAAACUUUGAACCUAUCUCUCUGUUUCCAGAACAGAGUCCAUAACUCUUCUAAGAAGAGGAAGCAAAUCAAAGCCUGGAAUUCAAAGCUUUCUUCAGCAGAGUCAACAGACCAAUAAAGAAAGGGAGUCCCUCUGCCUGUGGCAUUGUCCACACUCACAGGGUCCCACACUCUUAUUUGUUCCUACAGAGUAAAACGAGGCUAGAAAUACC